GAAAAGAUAUAGAGUCUUACCUGCCCAUUGAAAUUUAAAAGGCCGCGGUAAUUUGACCGUGCAAAGGUAGCAUAAUCAUUAGUUUUUUAAUUAGAAAUUUGUAUGAAGGGUUUGAUGAGAGAUAGUCUGUCUUAUUUAUAUAUAUUGAAUUUAACUUUUAAGUGAAAAGGCUUAAAUAAAAUAAAGGGACGAUAAGACCCUAUAAAAUUUAAUAUAAAUUAUAUUAUUUUAUAAAAUUAUUAGUUUAUUAUAAAAUAAUAUAAUAAUAUUUUAUUGGGGCGAUAGGAAUAUAAAAUAAUAACUGUUCUUUUUAAAAUUAAUUAAUAUUUAGUUAAGUUGAUCCUUAUUUUAAGAUUUAAAGAUAAAGUUACUUUAGGGAUAACAGCGUAAUUUUUUUUGAGAGUUCUUAUCGAUAAAAGAGAUUGCGACCUCGAUGUUGAAUUAAAAUUUCUUUAUAAUGUAGCAGUUAUAAAAGAAGGUCUGUUCGACCUUUAAAUUUUUACAUGAUUUGAGUUC
rnacentral:rRNA from 1 species